rnacentral:rRNA from 1 species
UUUAUGGAGAGUUUGAUCCUGGCUCAGGAUGAACGCUGGCGGCGUGCCUAAUACAUGCAAGUCGAGCGAACGGACGAGAAGCUUGCUUCUCUGAUGUUAGCGGCGGACGGGUGAGUAACACGUGGAUAACCUACCCAUAAGACUGGGAUAACUUCGGGAAACCGGAGCUAAUACCGGAUAAUAUUUUGAACCGCAUGGUUCAAAAGUGAAAGACGGUCUUGCUGUCACUUAUGGAUGGAUCCGCGCUGCAUUAGCUAGUUGGUAAGGUAACGGCUUACCAAGGCAACGAUGCAUAGCCGACCUGAGAGGGUGAUCGGCCACACUGGAACUGAGACACGGUCCAGACUCCUACGGGAGGCAGCAGUAGGGAAUCUUCCGCAAUGGGCGAAAGCCUGACGGAGCAACGCCGCGUGAGUGAUGAAGGUCUUCGGAUCGUAAAACUCUGUUAUUAGGGAAGAACAUAUGUGUAAGUAACUGUGCACAUCUUGACGGUACCUAAUCAGAAAGCCACGGCUAACUACGUGCCAGCAGCCGCGGUAAUACGUAGGUGGCAAGCGUUAUCCGGAAUUAUUGGGCGUAAAGCGCGCGUAGGCGGUUUUUUAAGUCUGAUGUGAAAGCCCACGGCUCAACCGUGGAGGGUCAUUGGAAACUGGAAAACUUGAGUGCAGAAGAGGAAAGUGGAAUUCCAUGUGUAGCGGUGAAAUGCGCAGAGAUAUGGAGGAACACCAGUGGCGAAGGCGACUUUCUGGUCUGUAACUGACGCUGAUGUGCGAAAGCGUGGGGAUCAAACAGGAUUAGAUACCCUGGUAGUCCACGCCGUAAACGAUGAGUGCUAAGUGUUAGGGGGUUUCCGCCCCUUAGUGCUGCAGCUAACGCAUUAAGCACUCCGCCUGGGGAGUACGACCGCAAGGUUGAAACUCAAAGGAAUUGACGGGGACCCGCACAAGCGGUGGAGCAUGUGGUUUAAUUCGAAGCAACGCGAAGAACCUUACCAAAUCUUGACAUCCUUUGACAACUCUAGAGAUAGAGCCUUCCCCUUCGGGGGACAAAGUGACAGGUGGUGCAUGGUUGUCGUCAGCUCGUGUCGUGAGAU